CAACCGCCAUUAAACAAAAAUAUAAAAAGCGGACACACCUCCGUGCGCCUGCGCUGAGACGCGGCGGAAUUUUUGUUGAUAUUUGAAAUAGAAGAGUCCCAAUGAGCUUCACUUGAUCAGUUUACGGUCAUUAUCAAGAAUAUUUUCGGCCAAGAGGCGAAGUCCGCAGCUGGUUAACGUUUAAUUACGGUUAUUGAUUUCUUCAACGACAAACACUUCUCGUCCAUCUGGUUCUGGUCGCUGUGAAGACAAUGACUCCUCCAAAAACUUCGAAGCAGACUUCAUCUGCAGCGUCAAAGAUCAAAAAUAAGCUCAUUAACACAUCCUUCUUUUCCAAGGCCUCUUUGAAGAGCAACAACAAGGCCUUAGCUGCCGCUUUGACGGCUCAGAGGGAGAGGUGCAAACAGCUGGAGAUGGAGAUCAUGCACCUGCAGAAACAAGAGGCAGCUCUGUCCUUCGAGCUGGCCUCCAUGAAAUUCAAGGAAAAGAAACUGUUCCUCAUAUUCCAAACUGUCUUCGGCAUGGUGACUGACCUGUACCCCGACUGUGGUCUUCCUAAACUACCUGAUGAUAACAAGGCCAUAUUUGAUAACAUCAAUGAGGAAGAUCAUGUGGUGGAAAGUCCUACAGAUGACUUACCUCCUCAGUCAGAAAAGUUAAAGGAUUCAUUAUGUCCCAUGAAAAACAUAAUGGCAGACCUACCUGAAAAAAACAUGGAUGGGAAUGUCUUCCAUAUCCAGAGUAGUCCCACAAAGUCCACUGAUGCCUGCAACGAUAAUAUAGGUGUUGGGAAAAGGCAUUCAAGCCAGCGUGUACAAGCUCCCUCGGCAGGAACAACCCAUCUGUCCAGCAGCCUACGGGAUGAAGUAGAGAGGCUGUCGAAGAAGUUCUCUCAGUCGGGGUUUGACAUGAAGUCUGUUCUCUGUCCUCAGAACAGUCAAACCUCCUCACUUUUCAGCACAUGUGAAAAAUCCAAGCCGUCUUCAGCUGAUAACAAGAACCCUCGCUUUUGGCUCAGACGUGGAAACUGAACAUAGUAACCAACCAGAGAGAACAAUGCUUCUGAAUACAACAAUGGAGAUGACACAAAGUAAUGCUACUGAGAUAGUCACCGUGGAAACUGUGGCCAAAAAAACAGGCUGCUCUGGCAAGCCGAAACGCAAGAGGGAUAAUGAAGAGGCCUGUGGGUCGAGUGUGGCUGGAAAUCUCAUUGAUACUUGUUUACAGACAGAUGACUAUGCAGUAGAGGAUAUUAGAGACCUGGAAACUAAGAGUCAGUCAUCUAAAAAAAAAUAGUAAGAGUGUCAGUACCUCUCACAUUCCCAAAUUGAGCAAGAAAACGGCAAAGGACAAAGUCAAAUCACCGCACCACGCCAAGUCAAAGACGCAGUCCUCAGAUGUGGUCUCACCAAAUUUUGACAAUUGUCUCAUAGAUCCUGAAAAUAGAUUCUCCAAAGCCAGAGAAAGUGUCAUUUUACCACCAGAGAAAGACACUUCAGAAAACGCAGUAUUCAACAUCACAUACCGAAGGUCCAGGACCAAAAGCAGGGGGGUGUCUUCAGUCUCCAGGAAAGUCUCAUUCACUUCGUCAUCCCAUGAAAGUGAGAACGGUGAGGGACUUGAGAGAAAAUACCAAGCAGGCAAAGACCAAGAACAACCUGAUGAGUUCCUGUUUUGUGCAGAUCCAGAGUCAGAACAUAGUGGGUCUCCUUCCCUUGUUGAUAAUAAACCACAGAGGAAAAUGAAGGUCACAACAAUUUCUGGGGGACAUUGCAAAUCAAGAUGCAGAGGGACAUUUGUUAUCUCAGGGGCAGGUGAUUGCCCCUCACCGAACAGCACACCACCGGUAGUGGAUGUUGUAGAGCAGGACUUAAUGCCAUCUAUAGUAUCCUUUGACUGUGAGGCAGAAGUACUGUCAACAGUCAUUGAUGCAAGUGUCAUUCAGCAGCAUUCAGAAUCGGAUCCACACAGGGAUAGGGCCUUUGUCGAGGAAACACAGAGCUGCUCUCAGCAUCCUGGGGUGGACACUCAGGAUUCUGGGAGCUUUCAAGAGGACUUGAGCAGCAAAGAUACCCAUGAAAUACUGCUGCUGGCCCAAGACUCUACUACAGGCACAGGGAUUCAGACACCGAAAAAAGCAAGGAGGAAAAGAAACAGGGCGCCCGGGCAAGAGGAAAGCUGUUCAGAGGAAGGAGUGUGAUGACCUUUCAAAUGACAAGAAGAAGAGUAAAAGAUGCCAUAGCAACAAAGGACUUAGAUCUGAUCAAGAACAAUUAUAUGAUUUACUUGUGCCUGACUCACAGUCCCCAAUGGAUUUGAAACCAGAAGAGUGUAGAAUGAAGACCAAGCCGCAUACACCCACAGAAACUAGGAAUUUAAGGGGUACUUUUGUUGUCUAUAGGCGGAAAACUCAAGACGGCAUUUCACUUAACAACAUGAGAGCAUCUAAUGUGUCAGACGAUUACUGUCACAUGGUGGACACUGGUGAUGAGGCAGUGUAUCAGAAUCUGGGAGACCUGCUGACAGAUGAGAUGCCUCCGUGGCUGGCCAUGGAUGUCAGCUCUGCUAACACCGAAGUUGGUUCUUUACCAGCUAGUCCAAUGAGGGAGACACCAGGAGGGGCAGCAGUUGUUGAGGAGUCUGCUUCUGUCACAGCUGAGGCCUCUCCAGCAGGAAGAGUCUUAACAUCACUGACCAAUACCAUUACCACCCCAGAGAAUGAAAACAGAGGCAGAACCAGGAGGCUUCGAGGUGUUGUCAGUUACAAGGAGCCACCCCUCAACAGCAAAAUAAGGCGUGGAGAUAAAUUCACUGACAGCACGUUUCUGAGCUCUCCGGUAUUUAAGGACGACAGCAAAAAGAAGAGGCAGAAGAAGACCGCAGCCAGGACAAAGCUGGAAACAAGUACUGUUUUGGUGGAGUGAUUUUUUAAAAUCUGGUUUAUUUUAAUUGUCUUUUUUUUAAUCUUAAUAAAGACCUUUUAAUACAAGGAGUAACCUAAUCAGACUGGUUUUGUCAUGGUUUUAUAGACCAGACCAGUCUACAAACCAUGUUUCUAGACAGGACUGGACAAGUCAAACACCAGUAACCGCUGCUCCACUUGUUUUCCAGUGAUAUUUGGUUGGUAAUGCUCUGAGAGAGUGACAGGAGGUUAGUUAUAAAUUAUUCAGUCCAGGCUGUUCACCUGAGACAUGUGAUCCACAUCACUGUAAAAGGCUCGUGUUCCCCAGAAAGGUUACCAGAUUCAGUGUUACAUGACUGCAGCCAACCAUUUAUAGGGUUUUGUAUCAUCAUGUGAACUGAACUAUUGUAAGCGCCUGCUUUUGUUGUACAACUUCAGUUUCUGGUCGUACAGGACUGUGUGGUGAGUACAGAUGCUUGCCUGUUUUUUUUUUUGUUUUUUUUAAAAGAAGCCACUGUUUUUUGAAUGUUUCUAAUAAAAUGUGUUAUUGUACAGAAGAGAUGGAUUCAGUUUUGGAUUUGUUACUCUUCUCUGUUUGUUACAGAGAAUGUGUUUUUAAGUUGAACUUACUGGAUUGUAUUCUCACUGCAUUUCUUGGUAGCUCUCUGUGUGGUCCCAACAAGGUGUCAGGUUUAAUUCCUGGCAACAUAGCACUGCAUGCUAAGCAGUUAAUUAACCCCUUACUUGUAGGUUAACAGUGU